UACGUAGGGUGCAAGCGUUGUCCGGGAAUUAUUGGGCGUAAAGAGCUCGUAGGCGGUUUGUCGCGUCUGCUGUGAAAACCCGAGGCUCAACCUCGGGCCUGCAGUGGGUACGGGCAGACUAGAGUGCGGUAGGGGAGAUUGGAAUUCCUGGUGUAGCGGUGGAAUGCGCAGAUAUCAGGAGGAACACCAAUGGCGAAGGCAGAUCUCUGGGCCGUAACUGACGCUGAGGAGCGAAAGCAUGGGGAGCGAACAGG
rnacentral:rRNA from 1 species